CUGACCUGCCAGAAGUGCCCCAGGGUGGGGGACUGUGCUGUGAGCAGCUGGGACAGCAAAGCGUUUAGAGCCUCCAGCAGUAAGUACAGCCUGGGAGCCUUUUUACAAAUUGGGAAGAAGCAGCUUCUGUGCUGUGUCCUUGGCCAGGGGUCCUGCCAGAAUGCCCUGCACAGCUAUAGGCAGGAGUCCCCUCUGGAACCACCCAUUGAAAGAAUAUGGGUGCAAACCCCAUGUGUGUUGGGGUGGGGAAGGGAAGGACAAGGAUCAGAGAAUAGAAGUGACAGUCUGCACCAGGGGGGUUGGGGCAAGAAAAGAGAAAAGGGCCUCAGACCCUGGUCAGCUCCUAGGAAGAGAUCAGGAGGGCUAAUUGUCACAAAACCCAGGGAGGAUGACUUUCAUGGAGGGGCAGUCCACAGGGUCCGAUGAACAAAGUGAUGAAGGACAUGGAUGAUGACAUGGAUGAUGAGGGCAGGCAGACACUUGCAGCAGAAGGAUAGAGCCGGGAGGAGGGUGGCAGAGGACUGAGGAGGACGAGGCAGUGAGUGCCCACAUAGGGUCGGAGUUUGCACUGCACUUUCAAGAAGUGUGUCAAGAAGGAAAGGAGAAAACAGGAGGACAUCUCAUUGUAGUGGCGGAGAGGGGAUGGCGGUUUCCUUAAGCUAGGAUGGGACCAUGUAGUCAGGCAGGUGGCAGUUACCUCAGCAAUGAUGACAGUGUAGUUGCUGCUAUGCUGGACGGAGUCCAGAGAACUAGGGACACCGGUAGCAGUAAUCACUAUCUAGCCCAAGAAUCUUGGGGAAGUGACAUUGAAGCUGAAUCUUGAAAAGUGAUAGUACUAGUAGGUGGCAGAGCUGGGAUUUGACACGUGGAACCUCUACAUGUUCCUGCCUCUCCUCCAAUCUCAAGAAUAGGCCUGACGCUGGGGUGCCUGUGGCAAGCUGUGUGAUCCACCCACAAUGCAUAAAAGGAUGUGUGAAUAAUUUUGAGAUCCCACUGAAGGUCACACAGUGUGGCUUUAUGAUGAGACAACCACAUAAGAAAUACUCUGUAUCCUAAGGGAGGGAGGGGAAAUGGUGGGCUUCCCUGAGGUGAGAGAGCAAGAGUCUGAACUUCAAACACUGUUGAAGUGGCUCACACUGGGGCAGGCAGGUGAGGAAAUGAAGGAAAUUAAAAGAUCUCAGUUGAAAAGGAGGAGUACUAGCACUCAUGGGGGCUCAUGUGACUUUUGUCAGCCAGGGGUAGUUGUGCAUGCAUCUAGUUCUAGCUACUUGGGAGGCUGAGACAGGAGGAUCUCUUGAGCUAGAAGUUCAAGGCCAGACUGGGCAACAUAGCAGAUCAUCUCCAAACAAACAAAUGAACAAACAAAGCAGCUGUGGAAUAUUAAGGAGGGAUUAUCAGAGGAAUUUGGGGUCAGAACCGUCAUUCAAGAGGGGGCUGAGCUGGGGACGGUUGUGCAGACCUGUAAUCCCAGUGGCCUGGGAGGCUGAGGCUGGAGGAUUCAAAGCUAACCUCAGCAAAAGUGAGGAGCUAAGUAACUCAGUAAAACUGUCUCUAAAUAAACUACAAAAUAGGGUUGGGGAUGUGACUCAAUGGUCGAGUGCCUCUGAGUUCAAUCUCCAGACCCCCCAAAAAAGAGGGGGCUAAAGGCCCUGAAAACCAUGGAGUUAAGGAUCUUAAAGAAAAGAGAGGAUGGGAAAAGCAUAGACUUUGGAGUCAGACAAAGUUUGAAGCCUAGUUUGUUUACUUGUUGAGUGACCUUGAUCAAGUUGGGUACCAAGUUAGUGAGUCUUGUCUGUUUUGCAGGGCACAUGAUAGGGCCCAGGUACAGCAGGUGCUUUUCAAGGGUACUCCUCUGCCCACUUCUUCUGGAAGAAUCACCAACCUGGAGGUUGAAGUCCUUUAAUUUGUUUCCAUUCCUUGGUGAGCUGGGAAUACAAAGACAAAUAAAAAUAGACAAUAAUAGCUGGACCCAGUUGUACAUGCUUGUAAUUUCAGGUACUGAGGAGGCUGAGGCAGGAGGAUAUCAAGUUUGAUGCCAGCUUUAGUCACUUAGUAAGACCCCAUCUCAAAAUUUUAAAAAGUAAAUAACUUUUUUGAGAUCCCAUUGAAGGUCACACAGUGUGGCUUUAUGAUGAGACAACCUGGUCUGAUUCUGGUGGCUGAGGCAAGAGGAUUGCAAGUUCAAGUCCUGCCUUGACAACUUAGUGACACCUGUUGCAAAAUUAAUGAGUGGUGCAUGUCUGUAAUUCCAGGGGUUUGGGAGGUUGAGAAAGAAGGAUCACAAGUUCAAUGUCAGCCUCAGCGAUUUAGUGAGACCCUAUCUCAAAAUAAAAAAAUGAAAAGCACUGGGGGUGUAGCUCAGUGGUAGGUACCCCUGAGUUCAAUCCCCAAUGCCAGGGAAUGGGAGAGACAAUAAUAAAGGAGAUUAUUAGUGGGGAAAGAUAAUUGCAUAAACAAAAUACAGUAUGAUUGGUUCUAUGAAAAGAUGCAACAUACUGUCAGAGGAUAGAGUAACUCUUUUAAUUUACUAUUUGUAGGGCACCUGCUAUAUGCCAGGUAUAUUCUAGACUCUGGGGAUACAGCAAAGAAUAACCAGGAUGGAGUUGCUGCUCUUAUGAAGUUUUCAUUCCAGGUGCUGAAGAAUGGGGGUCACGGAGGUGAACUCAUGGAGGAGGAAUGCUUGUGCAGGGCUUAAAAUAAAUGAUAGCACUAGGCAUGGUGGCACAUUCCUGUAAUCCCAGUGGCUCCGGAGGCUGAGACUGGAGGAUCACAGGUUCAAGGUCAGCUUUAGUAAUUUAGUGAGGCCUUAAGCAACUGAGCAAGAACCUUUAUCAAAAUAAAACAUAAAAAGGGCUGGGGAUAUUGUUAGGUGGUUAAGUGUUGGGUUCAAUCCUGGGUACAAAAAAAAAAAAGUAGGAACUUUCUGGAGAGACACAGGGAUUAAGAGGAAUACUUUCCAGAUAGAAUGACCACUGGCACUGUGACAUGGUAUAGCACCCAACAGCAUACGAACUCUUCUGUUUCAGAUCUGUAUGUCUUACUGGUCACUAGAUUUUAUUAUCCCUAAUCUUAUUCAUAUAACUCUUUAACCUAUGAUCUUCCCACAUCUGUUAUUAUUUUUUGCUUUAAAAAUUUUUAGAUUUAUUGACGUGUAAUUUGCAUGCAGAUCAUUCACUCUUUUUAGGUAUACAGUUCAGUGGGAUUUGACAAAUGAAUUCAGUUGUGGAACUGCUACUAUGAUCAAAACACAGUUCAUUUCAUCACCUUGAUGUGUUUUGACACGUUCCUUCAGAGUCAGUCUCUCACCCCCUGCCUUCAGCUCUGGCCAUUCCUGAUCUGUUCGCUGUUCCUGUAGUUUUUCCUUUUCCAUAUUAUCUUAUAAUUUGAAUCAUUUGGUGUGUAGCUUUUUUUUUCUCUGACUCCCUUAGCUUAGCAUAAUGUUUUGGGGAUUCAACCUAUGUUGUUGCAGGUAUCACUAGUCACCCCCCACCCCUUUAAAAAUUGUCCUCUAUUGUCCAUUUUAGGAAGUUAUUCUAGUUUAUUCAUUUACCACUAGAUGGAUAAUUGUGUUCUUCUAAAUUUGUAGUUGUCAUGAAUAAAGCUGCUUGUCUUUGUGUGAAUAUAUGUUCUCAUUUGGAUAAAAAGCCCAGGAAUAGUUUGCUGGGUUGCACAAUAAGGGUAUGUUUACAAGAAACUGCCAAACUAUUUUUUUUUUCUUUCUUUCUUUUCUCUUUUGGUACUUGGUAUUAAACCCAGAGGCACUUUACCACUGAGCCAUAACCCUGGACCUUUUAUUUUUUUAUUUUGAAACAGAGUCUCACUAAAUUGUUGAGGCUGGCCUAGAAUUUGUGAUCCUCCUGCCUCAGUCUCCUGAGUCUGGGAUUACAGGUGUGGGCCAGGAUCACCCAGGUAUUAUUUCUUCUUCUCCUUCUCCUUCUCCUCCUCCUCCUCCCCCUCCUCCUCCUCCUCCUCCUCCUCCUCCUUCUUCCUAGGGAUUUAACCACUGAGCCAUAAUCCCCAGCCUUUUUUCUUUUAUUUUUUAUUUUAAGACAGGGUCUUGCCAAGCUACUUAAGGCCUCCCUAAAUGACUGAGGCUGACCUCAAAUUUGAGAUCUUCCUGCUUCAGCUUCCCAAACUGCUGGGAUUACAGGUGUGCACCACCACACCUGGCAUACUACAGCCUUUUCAAUGAAUUUAUCCUUGUAUCUCAGUUCAAAUAUUGCUUCCUCAGGAAGUUUAUCUAAUGCCUUCAAGUUAAUGUACUCUCAUAGGAUCAUGUUUCAUUAAAAGUUAUUUAUAUGGGCUGGGGAUGUGGCUCAAGCGGUAGCACGCCCGCCUGGCAUGUGUGCCGCCCAGGUUCGAUCCUCAGCACCUUAGGGGGAUCAGAGCUGCUUUGGGACCCUAACCAGGUCCCAGAUUUUUGACCCAACUUACUGAGGCCAUCACCAAAUAUACAAAUUUAAUGUCAGCAGCCCUAAUGGCAGGCUUCUUCCACACUUUAUCUGUGGAUCUGCACCUGACAACCACAAGAAACUCAGACGAUUAAAGAAGGGUCUUGAGUCUCCUCAACAGUUACUUUUAGAUAAGGUUUUCUUCAACUGGGAGGAUAAAACCAAAAAGAAAAGAAGAAGACAACUUAAAAUUAAAUACCAGCUCUUGGCCUCUACAAUUCAGGGCCAAAAACCAGGACCCUGUCUUCGAUGUAGACAGCAUGGACACUGGGCAAGAGCCUGCCCUAACCUGAGGCUUCCCACCGAGCCCUGACCCAAGUGUGAGCAAUGGAGAUACUGAAAGGUUGACUGUCCUCAAGGAAAACACCCCUCCUCUCAUGUGCAGCCAGUUUCUUAGGUCCCCUAAUACAUCAAAGAGCCUCAAAUUACAGAAAUAAUAAAUAGUCAAACAGCAGAUAAAUAUUCUACUUCUAAAGAGAUUUUAAAGACACAAGAAGCCAACAGGCCCAAAAGUAUUCAACUCCUCCCAGCCUACAACACAAAAGAAGGACUUCAAAACUCUCCCUCUCUCUCUCUCUUUGUCAUCCUUUCAUGCUGCUAAACUGAAACAAUUAACAGAAAAAUUCUCUCAUGUUGCUGAACUGAAAUUAUUAAUAGCUAUAUCAUUUUUUCCUGGGAUUCUUAUUUUUACAAUUCUAUAUUUUGAGUUCAUAAUUUUCAUCCUAUGCACCUAAAUUAUAAUUUCUGAUCAGACCUGUUUUAUAGAGGCCAAUUUACAAAAAUUGACUCUUAAUCUAAUAAAUUUCAAAAGUUGUAAGGCCUUUACUUGUUGUUCUAUGCUGACUUGUCCAUGUGUGUCAGAACCAACAUAUAGAGAGCUCAUAAACUAAAAUUAAAAAAUGGAUCCAAAUACCUUUGAUUUAUAUGAUUUAAAGGUUCAAUGUAAGUUGGGUAGACAAACAAAAGUAAAGAUAUCUUUAAAAUUACUUAACCCAAGUCUCUCUAGGUGGUCAACAACUAAUGAAAUGUUAACAUCUAUAAAAUGUCUAAUAUCUAUUGUUUCUAAGACUUCUCUUCAACAAGGGAAAAAUGACUUAUACUAUUUAAUACACUUGUCUGAUAUCUUUUUUUUUUUUACAGUAAGUAAGUAAAUUAAGCUUAACAUGUAAGAGAUUUGACAUGUAUGGAAGUACUUAUAAAUGUGUUUGUUAGAGACAUCUGAUUAAUCUACAAAGUUAAUAUGCUAACUAUUAAAUAUAACAUCAAGUACUCUUAGCUCCUUAAAGUCCAUACAGUAACAUUAUUGGUGUUUUCAUAGAUUGGUAAAUGAAAAAGGGGAUUAAAAAAUGCUCUGUGUCAUUACUUAAAAUAAGAUUACUAAAAAUUUAAAGUGCCAAACAGGUGUAAUUCUAUAUACUUGAACAUUGUGUUUUCAUGAAAUGGUAAACAGAUGUAAUUCUAUAUACAAAGGUUUAUAGAAGAUUUCUAUAUACAAAGGCCCAAAAGCUUUCAAGUGUGUUUCAAUUAGACUAUUAUAAAUAACAAAAUAUUCCUUCUCAUUAAAAUGAAGUAAUUUAUCUAGAUUCAGAAAUUUAUAAGAAUUGUUUCAAAAUGUAAACAUAAAAGGGGGUUAAUAGAAAAGAGAAAUUAGAAUUUCUAGGUACGAAAACUAAAACAAGAGAGUUUAAUUGAGAAAGAACGUCUAUGUAAAGAAUUGGCAAAUUUCAAGAAGCUUAAUUAUUUUUUUGUGUGGAAUAAUCAGUCAAAGAUAAUCAAAGUUUUUCUCUAAGGUAAAAAUGUUAAUGUAAUGAUGUAAAACAGAGUUUAAUCCAAGUGUUAAAGUAACAAGAAUUUCUUGAAACAUUAAUUUUACUCUUAACAUUGUGGCUAUUAAGUUUUUUCUUUUCUUUUUUUUUGAAACCGGGGAUUGAAUUUAGGGGCACUUGACCACUGAGCCACAUCCCCAGCCCAAUUUUAUAUUUUAUUUAGAGACAGAGUCUCACUGAGUUGCUUAGCCUAUUGCUGAGACUGGCUUUGAACUCACGAUUCUACUGUCUCAGCCUCCCAAGCCGCUGGGAUUACAGGUGAGCGCCACUGCACCUGGCUGCUAUUAACGUUUAUUCUGUAGAACAACUAAUCUUAGAAAGAUUAAAGUUUAUAGGACUGUGGUUAAACAACAGCUGUUAUUUUGGAGUAUUAUACUAUGUUACAAAGUCUAGGUUUUUCUUUAAGAGCUAAACUUGAUUAAUAUAAUGACAUCAAUAUGAUUAUGGUACUAAUAUAUUAAAUUUAUUCAUUUCUUCCAGGUAUACAAGUCUUUAAGGUAAAAAGGUUAAAAACAAAAACAAAAGCAUUUUAUUGAACUGGUAUUCUCCAAACUAAGGUUAUCUGAUAGACUUAUAAGGAUAACAAUUUUAUUGAAGAUUUAUUUAUGUCAUUUAAUGUUUUAUGACUAGAUCUGUUAUCAAUAAGAUUUAUAAAGUUUGGUGUUACCUUUUACAUUGGAAUAAAAUUUAAAUGUAUUUUUAAGUUAACGAGAGGCUAAUCUGUUUAAAGGUUAAUACUGUAAAACACAGAAACAUUUUGCUACUUUUCCACAAAAAAGGUUAAAACUCUCUCAACCUUUCUUUAAUUCAUGUUUUAAAUGUAAUGUCAUAUUGUUAGCUGACAUUCAUGUGGACUCAGGAAACAAUAUAUGUAAACUUUAUAAAAUGAUAUUUAAGGAAGAGACAAAAAUCACCUUCACAACUAAAACACUUUACCUAAAAUUCAUCAAGAGCCUCAUCCUAAGAUAAGGCCCUGCCUCCCAUCUUACUACAUGUUAAAUGGCUCAAAAACAGGUCAAACUUCAACUCAUUUAAAU
rnacentral:lncRNA from 1 species